rnacentral:ncRNA from 1 species
UAUAUGGAGAGUUUGAUCCUGGCUCAGGACGAACGCUGGCGGCGUGCCUAAUACAUGCAAGUCGAGCGGACAGAUGGGAGCUUGCUCCCUGAAGUCAGCGGCGGACGGGUGAGUAACACGUGGGCAACCUGCCUGUAAGACUGGGAUAACUCCGGGAAACCGGGGCUAAUACCGGAUAAUUCUUUCCCUCACAUGAGGGAAAGCUGAAAGAUGGUUUCGGCUAUCACUUACAGAUGGGCCCGCGGCGCAUUAGCUAGUUGGUGAGGUAACGGCUCACCAAGGCAACGAUGCGUAGCCGACCUGAGAGGGUGAUCGGCCACACUGGGACUGAGACACGGCCCAG